UGGAAGCAAAACUGCUCUCAAGCAACCCUAGCGUGGCCCCUCGUUGCCCUCGAAGACAAUUGAAACCUGCGACCCCGUGCACCUUGAACACAGGACACGGUAAGCACAUUCACUAAAGCAUCUGCUGCUCUUUUAAAGAAGCUGUGGAGAGGCUGGGCGUGUUGGCACACGCCAGCACUUUGGGAGGCCGAGGUGAGUGGAUCACCUGACGUCAGGAGUUCAAGACCAGCCUGGCCAACGUGGUGAAACCGCAUCUCUACUAAAAGUACAAAAAUCAGCUGGAUGUGGUGGCAUGAGCCUGUAAUCCCAGCUACUCUGGAGGCUGAGAAUCUCUUGAACCCAGGAGGCAGAGGCUGCAGUGAGCCGAGAUCACGCCACUGCACUCCAGCCUGGGCGACAGAGCAAGACUCUGUCUCAAAAAAAGAGAAAAAACAAAACAAGAACCUGAGGAGGUUCUAAGUUCUACAUUCAGAUAUGGAGCCAUAGAAUCAGAGCAGAGGGGGACAGUUGACAUCCAGGUUUCAUCAGGAGAAGAGAAGCCAAGGCAAAGAUCUCCUGGGCAGUCAUGAUAAAUAUAGACCCACCAUAAAGUAAGACUUCAGCUUUCUGGGGCAUUAAUCACCCUGUUGGGAGUUAGGCAAGAUUGCAUCAGUCCUCAGAGGAUGAUCACCCCUGGGAAAGUCAUAAAACAAACUGCACUCACCUGGCUGGGGAGCAGGCAGAGAAACUCAAAGGCUUUAUUAACAGCAGUGCAGUGUCAUUCUUCAUCAACUAGAAGACUCCAGCCUUCUGCAGGUCUGUCAACCCACCCCAGACCUCCUCAGUCACAACCUUGGGAAACUGGAUUACAAGACUGACAGAUGAUUGCAAAUGUUCAAAAUUUUUAUAUUCCCCCAACACUAUGGUUCUCAUAAAACUUCUCCAUCUUACUCAAAACAAGCCACCCCCUGCAGCUUUCCAGCUGGUAUUAAAUUGGCUGAAUAAUCCCCCUACUGUCAAAAAUUUUGUCCUACACAAAAGGAGGGUGAUCAGACAAGAAAAAUGGACAAUCGGCCCCCAGAAGUCACCUGGGCAUCCAAGAGCCUGCUCUCUUGUUUUGCAGCUGCACAGGGACAUGAGGCCGGGCACAGUGGCUCAUGCCUGCAAUCCUGGCACUUUGGGAGGCGAAGGUGGGUGGAUCACUUGAGGUCAGGAGUUCAACACCAGCCUGGCCAACAUGGCGAAACCCCAUCUCUACUAAAAACACAAAAAUGAGCCAGGCAUAGUAGUCCCAGCUACUGGGGAGGCUGAGGCAUGAGAAUCGCUUGAACCCGGGAGGCAGAGGUUGCAGUGAGCCGAGAUCGCAGCACUGCACUUCAGCCUGGGAGACAGAGCGAGAGUCCAUCAGAAAGAAAGGAAAGAAAGAAAGAAAGAAA
rnacentral:lncRNA from 1 species